UGCACACACACCCACACACAGGCACUGACACACACACACACACACACACACACACACACACACACACGCACACACAGCCCAGAAGGCAAAGUCAGGAUGUGACAUCACCCACAGGAAGAGAAGCCAAACAACUUUUUCUCUCUUUACUGUGUUGUCUGUGCUGCUGAGUGAAGUUGGAGACUCUCGGUCUGUUAGUGGCCGGCAGAGAGGGAGAGGAUCCAGAGGAGCCAGAGGGGGCAGAGCAGCUGGAGCUGUCCUCCACGGGGAGUUUAUAGCCAAGGGCUCCGGCGCCUGAAUCCUCCCUGAACUUCCCUCAACUUUCCACCGCAUUCCUCUGCUGUAGGAUUUCAGCCAGAAACGUCUCACUGUCUGAAAACAAGAGCGCCCUGAAAUCUUUACAUGACAGACGCUGACCCCCUGUGACCUGAUUUCCGAGCUCACACCAGCCUGGUCCCAUCUCUCAGGAAGGUCACCCUUUAUCAAACGCAAAACUCAUUAUUAUUCUGGAGAGCUCAUUCUCCCCUUAUCUUAGGGGAAGCGGCUGAGUCAAUGGCGUUGUGUCUUGGACAAGUGUUCAGCAAAGACAAAACAUUCAGGCCGAGGAAGCGGUUUGAACCGGGCACCCAGCGCUUUGAACUCUACAAGAAGGCCCAAGCUUCGCUCAAGUCCGGCUUAGACCUGAGGAAAGUGGUUCAGCUGCCGGAGGGAGAGAACAUCAACGACUGGAUUGCUGUUCACGUUGUGGAUUUCUUUAACAGGAUCAACUUGAUCUAUGGCACGGUCAGCGAGUACUGCUCCGAGCGCACGUGUCCCAUCAUGUCUGGCGGGCUGAGGUACGAGUACAGGUGGCAGGACGGCGACGACUACAAGAAACCCACCAAGCUGCCUGCUCUCAAGUACAUGAACCUGCUGAUGGACUGGAUAGAGUCGCUCAUCAAUAAUGAGGACAUCUUCCCCACCAGAGUAGGUGUACCUUUCCCGAAGAACUUCCAGCAGGUGUGCAAGAAGAUCCUGAGCCGCCUCUUCAGAGUGUUUGUGCAUGUUUACAUCCAUCACUUUGACAGCAUCUGCAGCAUGGGUGCCGAGGCCCACAUCAAUACCUGCUACAAGCACUACUACUACUUCAUCUCUGAGUUCAACCUCAUUGAUCACUCUGAACUGGAGCCCCUGGGACCUCCAUCACAUAUGAGCAGAUGGAGAACGGUGCUUCGAGCGUCAAUAAAAGGCUUCAGUUAUCAUCAUUAUGAAGCCCGGGCUGCGUAAUUCCCCUCAUAAAGCAAAACGAGGAUGAGAAAUUUAUGUCAACACGCUGCAGAAAAGAAAGAGAUGACAGAGAAGAUAUGCAAUUAAACAAAACCACAUGGACAAAAGGAGUUUACAUUUUCACGUUAUCUGAGCCCUGUGAGAAAUCUUCGGCUUCAAAACACUCAAAACAAAGAACGCUUUUACAUAAAGUUGUGUGAGUGAUUUUCUGAGCAUAACUGGGAGGGUCCACUAACAUAACCACACCUCUUCAGCUGGUGGCACUGUGCCUUCAUAGAGGUUUUUAUUUACAGUAACUGUGGCGCUUGAUGCCAUCAUUAUGUAGGACUAUGUGUUGGUUUAUAAUACAUCUCCUGUACUCAUGCCUUUUCUCUCUUCCUCACUGUGCAUGUAUGUUUGUGUUUGACCUUUUUAUAUAGUGUUGUCUUGUUUUGUUGAAUGAAAGUUUGUACUUUAUUUGAUGUUUUUUAUGGUUUGAACAUAAAAAUACAGUCUAUUAAUGACCAGU